rnacentral:lncRNA from 1 species
CGCCACCUGCACCUCGACCGGCGCCAUCUCCCUCGACGACCUACCCGACGACGAGGACGACGUGGACGCCGCGUACGCCCCCUCCGACGAGCACGACAGGUUCGACGCCGACCUCGCCGGGACCGGAGCCCCCUCCGAUGAGCACGACAGGUUCGACGACGACGACCUCGCCGGAGGCUGCGUCCCCGCCGCCACUGCGCGGAGCACGGCUACCCUCGCCUCCUCGCCCGAAGGCGACACGGGCGCCGCG